ensembl:lncRNA
CAUAGACAGUAAAAGAAAUGGACACAGCGACCCCAUUGGAACUCAAUUGAGACAAGUGAAGGCCAUUUUUAGCGAUUUUUAGCACUUCCGUUUCUGACGCGCAGACUCAAACUAAGCUUGAUGACGUCAGCAACCUGUCUGACAGAUGAGUUAUGAACGUGAAAUAAUGACACAGACUGGCUACACCAUCUCAUCUGCCGCAGAUACUGUAUCAGGAGGACAACGCGUUUGUUUGAGGCACUUUUCACUUCAAGAGAAUUAGCUUUUCUGAGCCGUUGAGAGUUGCCAUGGCAACCGCGGACACAUCAGCUGCUGGAGAGGAGAGGACGCGUCUGACAUUUUCUGUUUCUCGUCAGUUAUACCAAAGAAAAGUUCAACAACUGCG